GGUGGCUGAGAAUUAAAGCAUUAGACUUUUAAUCUAAUAACGAUGAAUUACAUCCCUG
rnacentral:tRNA from 1 species